rnacentral:lncRNA from 1 species
GUCUAUCUCACGAGACCACCCAGCAAUCCUAGCGAUGGCCGCCAUUAAUUACCACCACCUUAAGGUGGUGGUGCUGCCUCCAAACGCCGCCGAACUCACAAUAAAUCAACACCUCACCACCCUCAUUCCAGACCUCCGUUUCAUUUCAUUAAAAACCCCCUAAAACGGCUUGACACUUCGUUUAAAGGCGGAAACCAUACCGCCGCCACAAUUCCUCCGGUAGCGCUGCCGCUUCCAUUAAACCCCAAUUUUUCACCCUUGAACCCCCGUCUCUCCCUCAUUCCAAAUCCCCACUCAUAGUCCUUCGAACAUCCCUGUAGCUCCUCGAAUUUCAAUAAAAAAUUGAGCCCUGAGAGCCUAAGGACGGAUUCGCGCAUGUAAGUCGUUUUCAGAGUUUUUGGGUGGUUCCUGUUUGGUUUUGGCACGAAAUAGUGAUGCCCGUUUGAUCUUCAUCAAGAACAAAUGUUCGUCACUGUUUUGGGUCUAACCAAUGCUUCAAUGUGGAUUUUGAUUUCGCUUGGUAAGUUCUUCCUUUUUGUUCCUUUCAUGUCUCGACCUUCUUCCUUUCUUUUCCGUUUGCCUUGACUAAUUUUGUCUUCUGUGAAUAGGAUUAGGUUUAGUUGUCCCUCCUUUAGAGUUCGUAUUUAAUUGUGGUUGUUUUUAGUUUGUUUUCAAAUCGCUGAAACUUGUUUACUCGGUUGAUUUAAUAAUUUAGUUAAUCCCUUACCUAUAUCUAAAUUGAUCAUUGUUUAAGUUACGAUUAUUGUUGAAAUCACUUUAUGAUAUUUGGGUCGGUAAUGUAUUCUUUUCAAUUGGUUAAGUGGGAUUGAGCUUCGGGCUGUCUCUGAUUCAGUUGGCAAAGAGAAGCCCACCCAAUUUGGUACAGUCUAUUAGGUCAAAUUUUGACACAUCUUGGUGUGGUUCUCAAAGUAAAAUUCAGGGUAUUAAAGGGUAAUUUAGAAACAUUAGGUUGAGGAAUCUUUUAAUAACUACUUAAGAAACUCCUAGAAGUUUUCAGCAGGUAUUGGUUCUUAAUUUUCAUUCUAUGAAUUGGUUAACAAGUCACAAAAUCAGGGACUAAAGAGCAAAACAAAAAUCUGAAGGUUGCCCUAAUAUUGGCCUAUAAAAGGCAUUUGAGAACUUAUGCUAAGCGGGAUGGAAAAAAAUGGAGUUAAAAAUCCAAAAAAAUCACAACGGCUAAAAUUUGGUGAAAAAGACCAUUCUAUUGAAUUUCCUGCUUGAAAAUUCUGAAGUUUUCCCUUUCUAAAAUCAGUUCUAAUUUUCUUUGAGGUUAAAAAUGGUCUGAAUUUAGGUCUUGAAGGGAAUGUUUUGGGUUUACAGAAGUUAUUGCUUCAUUGGUCGAGUCUAAUUUGUUUUUGCUUGAUUUUCUACUUCAUGGGCACUGUUUGUUGGGUCACCGUUCUACUGAAACCACUUUGCUGACUUUCUGUUUGCUGUGCCUACUGACCUUCACUUUCUUCUUUGUCUUUUUUCUUAUCCCACGUAUGUAUUGACUCCUCAAACGUGCAUGAAAUGUGAAGAUGUAGGUUAUACAACCAAAUUAGAGUGGUUUACAUGUUUUAUUGUCAAAUGCCUAUUGGAUCUCCCUAUAGUUUUACAUAUGCUCUCUGAUGUAGAUCUCAUAUGGAGUUGUCUAUAUUGUCAGUGUUUAUUUCAUUUUAGGAUUUGAAGCUAAAUUUGAUUGAAUGUAAUGACUUAAGACUUUUGGACUUUUUAAACGUGUUUAUUUGAUCAAUCGGUAAGGGUUUUAAGUGAUUGGUGGAAGUUACAGGACUUGGCCACGGCUCAAAGGCACUAAUUCGUGUUCUGAUUCAGCCAAUUCAUUUUUGCUUUUCCAUUUUUGCCAAAGUUGCUUUAUGAGGGUUUGAAGUACUCCUUGGUUUAAGUUUGAAGAGACAUUUGGUAUAAGUUCAAUUAAUAGUUCAAUGCUUAAUGAUUGGUAGUGUGGUUCUCCUUCUAUUAGAAUGCAUUUUUUUUAUUCGCUAGUGACUCAUUCCUAUGUUCCCUACGUUUAAUUUGAAAAGAUAAAGACCUGAAGUUGUGUAUUAAUUAGUGGUCAAAAGGGAAUCUUAUUUUGUGUUUAAAAUGAGUGUUAUGCUUCAUUAGUAAUUGGAUCCUCCAUGAUUGAUCUUUUGCAAUUUGGAGCCUCAGGUAAACGAUUGUGAGAUUUCAUUUCUCAACAAUAGGGCUCCGUAUAUGGGCUCAAUUAUGAGGCCCAAUUUUGAAAAGUCCUGUGAACGAGAUUUGGGCCACUCUUCAGUCAGAUAAGGGGAACUUUGUUCAUGCUUUAUCUCUAUUGGACUACUAGUAUAGAUUUAGGCCUGGAAUAAAUUAGAAUUCCAAUUGUAUGAGAUCACAUAGUGUAUGGCCCUCAUAAUUAAAUUUGUAGCCCUUUUGAUUAGAGUAAAUUGGGGUGCACCAUGCCAAAUAAGAAUGACAAUUGCAUGGCCCUCAUGUAGUUAAUUUUGUUUUGAUCCUCACAAAUCAAGGCGUGACAUUUAGCGAAUUUCCAUGGACCCUGCAAAUCUAAAAACGGUAACUGCUUUAGGCACGAUAGUUAAAAAUCUAGUUUCCUAAAUUUGGGUGCGCAUAUGUGACCCAAAAUCCAAAUAUCUUUGUUAAGUAAAAUGUGUUGUGAACUACGGGUGAAUUUAUGUGACGUGGUUCAAGACGCGUUUUAACAACGUUGCAAUCUUCUUAAAAUUAAAAAAACGGUUAAACAGUUAAAAUUGCACAUAGGUUCAAUAUUAAAAUUGGAUAACUAAGCCUAAUAUAACAGCUGAGCGACCGUGCUAGAACCACGGAAUUCGGAAAUGCCUAACACCUUCUCCCGAGAACAGAAUUUCUUACCUCAAUUUCUGGCUCGCAGACUAUAUUACAGAGUCAAACCUUCCUCGAUUUGGUAUUUUAAAUCGGUGACUUGGGAAACCAUUAAUUAUCCCAAGUGGCGACUCUGAAAUCUUUAAAUAAAUAAGUCCCGUUUUGAUUGUCCUUUAAUUGGAAACACUUCCUUCUAUGCAUUUCCGGGGGUGUAGUGUACAAAGGAGGUGUGACAGGUAGGAGCAGUAUUGGGGGUAAAGAAUCAACAAGAUAUUUCAUCCGGUCUACUGUGCUAGUAAAACCAUGAACAACUCCCAAGUCAACCAUAGGGUGGCCGAGAAAGAACUCUUAGCCACUGUCAUUUGCUAUGGAAAAGUUUCACCUGUACCUCAUGGGUACCAAAGUUAUUGUUCACACCGAUCAUGCGGCGCUUCGUUAUUUGAUAAGUAAAAAAGAGUCAAAGGUUAGAUCGAUGCGGUAGGUACUUCUUCUACAAGAAUUUGAUCUUGAAAUCAUAGAUCGAAAAGGGAGUGAGGAUCAAGUGGUGGACCACUUGUCCCAUUUGGAACAGGAGGGGAGACCCCAUGAUAGACACGAGAUCAAUGAUUUAUUUUUAGAUGAACAACUCCUUUCAAUGUGUUUGAACAGGAUGCCUUGAUUUCCUAAUAUGAGCGGAAUUGUCCCGGAUGAGUUCUCUUCAAACCAAAAGAAGAAGAUCAAAUGGGACUGCUUGUAUUAUUUUUUAGAUGAGCUAUAUCUUUUUAAAAUUUUCAUUGAUGGUGUUAUUUAGAGAUGUGUCCCAGAAUAGUAUAAAUUGGGUAUUCUUGAAGCUUGCCAUUCAUCACCCUAUGGUGGUCACCAUGGUGGGCGAGAACUAUUUCAAAGGUCCUAAGACGUGGAUUCUAUUGGCCUAUCUUGUACAAAUACGCUAGCGAGCUUGUUAAAUGGUGUGAUGAUUGCCAAAGGGCCCGUAGGAUUUCCAAGAACAAUGAGAUGUCGCUCACCACGAUCCAUGAGAUUGAUAUUUUUGAUGUUUGGGGAAUCGACAUUUAUGGGUCCAUUAGUGAGUUCGUGUGGGAACACGUAUGUUCUUGUUGUUGUGGAUUACGUUCCAAAUGGCUUGAAGUUGUGGCUUUUCCCAACAAUGAAGCACGAAGUGUGGUGGUUUUAUUGAAGAAAAACAUAUUCACAAGGUUCGGCACCCCAAGGGCCAUCAUUAGUGAUGGGGGUUCUCAUUUUUGCAACAUAGUUUGAGCACGUGAUUUUUGCCCUAUGUGAAAUACUCCUACAAAUUAAAGAAGUAGACUUUUCCAAAUUGUUGUAAUUUCUUAGGAUUUUUGUAGGAUUUUUUUUAAUUGUUUGCAUUUUCUAUACAUGUUACUUCUAUUAAAAUGAUAAAAAAAAAUACCAAAAAUACCAUGCAUUGCAUUGACAUUUUAUUUUCAUAUUUUAGGAUUAACUCGUUUAUUAAUUAUUCCAUUAAGAUAAAAAUCACAAAAAACGGGUUCACCUUUACAUUUUUAGCUUUUAAUUUUAUAUUAGUAGUUAUUCUCUUUUAAUUUAGGAUCAACUAAUUUUUAUAAAUUUUAUAAUUUGACAAUUAGUUUAAUUUUAUAACUUUGAUUAAUUAAUUUUGGAUUUUUAUUAAUUAAAAAAAGAAAAAAAAUAAAAGAAAAAGGAAAUUAAAAAAGGCUCGUUUUAAAUUCAAUUGGGCGAAAAGUGAUGUUAAGCCCAAAAUCCCACCCCAAGUCAAGCUCAGACCCAAUACCCCUUACCCGGUCCAACCCUUCUCACCAAAACGGCCGCGUUUUCCCAGCCUCAAUCAUAGCCGUUGGAUUUCUCUUGAUUCGACGACUCAGAACUUGAUGCUCUAAAACCAUUUAUAUGUCGGAACAGUUUCCCCCAAACCCUUAAUCACUCACUUCCAUCUUCCUUUGAAUCCAAAUCCCAACCCUAGGCGCCCCAAAAUCCUCGCCACCGGCCAGCCGUAACACCACCAAACGACCUCUAAAUCUGCCCAAAUCCGUACCACAUACUGCUCACGUUCACUUCACCACUAUGCCACUAUUAAUCUCCAAAGAUCAAGCAGACUGCUCUCAUAUUCGAAUCUAGAGAUUCUAGAAAGAAGAGCCCAAUUUUCUUUUUCGAUUUUUUCACAAAAACAUCCGACUCGCUUUGACUGAAAAACUUAUGUUGAUAGAUUACUCACAAGAAGAUCAAUCACUUACCGAUACUUUUAAGUUAUUCUGAGACCAUCGGACUUAGGUAGACUCGUCGGAUUCCGGUCAAAGCUCAUCGUUCUAUCCACCUGCCGGAGUUCAUCAUCUUAUUUUUUUUCUUAGGUCAGGUUUGGGGUAAGGACUCUUACUGUUUGUCUUUCAUCAUUGUCUUGGCUUGCAUGGUUCAAAUUUUAAAUUUAUUUUAGGUUAGUUCUAGUGUUUAUUAGAGCUUGUUUGAAUCUUCAUCCCAAUGGUUGGAUUAGUAAGCUUUAACAGCUUUUUUGGUGAGCGUCGCUUAGGUGUUAGUCUCUUCUUGAUUUCUGCUCCCACAUCAUUCCAGAAUUGAUUCAUGAUAAAAUUAUAUAAGGUUAGGGUUAAUUUAAGGUUUAAUUGUAUAAAUAUUUUGGUCUUUUAAAUCUUUGAUUUUUGCCAAUUUUGGUUUUGUUUUGUUGGUUUUGACUUGUGAACAAUUAGAGUUAUGAGGGGGUGAAUUGAACAAAUAAAAAAACUUAAGAGGUCUUGGAAGGGUUUGAAAUAGUAUUUCUUUUCAGAUAAGGCUAAGAAGUUUCUAGAAUUUUGGGCAGUUGGCUAAAUUUGGCCCAGCAUAAGAUGCUAGAACCAAUAAGAGACAGCCACAAAUCUGAUUUUUAUUAUUCCUCACUUAGAGCACACAUUUGAAACUCUAUAAAAGGAAUAACACUCCUUUAUUAAAGGGGACUCGCACAAAAAAAAGAAAGAAAAACAAAACAUAAAAAGGGAAAAACUAAGAGAAUAAUUAUUAAAAAGUUGGUUUAGCUACUUUCUUUAGUAUUUUCUAGGUUGAGAAGCUAUUAAAUCUUAGCACUAUGGGCAACUAAUUAUUGCUGCAUUUUUUCUGUUCAAUCAAGGCUUUAUUUGCUUUCAAGUCUAGCUAUUUUUGGUCAUUUCCUUUCCUGUUGAUCUUUGUUGAUAGGUAUGUAGUCUAUCUCUUGUCAAAUUUUCUUUGAAAUAUGGAUUCAGAGAUAUGGUUUACUCCAGCUAUGCCUCUGUACAUCUGUGCAGUAAUUGGGUGUAUUUUUAUGUUUAUUGUUUAAGUCCACCUAUUGUUUGUUUCAUAUCAUAGUACAUGAAUCAUAUAUCAGCUAUCAAUAAUUUUUAGACUGUUUUAUAUCUAGUUAAAAUAUAGUUUCUUUGAUUGCAAGUUGAAUAAGCUAGUACAAGUUCAAUCUGUAAAUGAAGCAAGUUUGAUCAUUAUACCACCAUUUGUAGUUUUUCUUUAAGUGUUAAAUCUGAGUGUGAGUUGGUCACACUCAAGGAUCUGUAUGGAUAAAAUGCUGUUGCGAAGUCUUAUAGUAGUUUAAAUAGUGGUAUGAGCAUUACAAUACCAUAAUAUGAUUUAACUUUAUUGUUCUGAAUUGCUAUAGGCUCUUGCUGGUUUGAUUAUAUAGAUUUGUGGUAUUUGAAAGUUAGUAAACCUUCAAUGUUUCCUUAAAUGACCUUAUUUAAAAGUUGUUUGGCCUGUAUUUUUUCUAAGUUUUGUUUUGUGUUAAAAUCAUGGAAUAUUACAGUCUUCCUAACAAUUUAUUAUCAUUUGUUUUCUAUUGUGACAAUGUGGUUGUAGAUUUGCAAGCUAGCUCUAUAUCUCGCCUUGAAAAUGCAAACUUCUUUUGAAUUACCAAUUUUCAGCGACUGGAGCAGCUUGCAUUAACGGAGGAUCAUCAUGUUUUGUGGGGCUUUAAUUAAUGAUUAGCUAGAUUUUAUGGUUGUUAAGCUUUUAUGAUUUGGGUUUUAUAUAAAUUAUUUUUAUCAUUCAUCUUGUAUAAGUUAAUUUAGUGGUUCUUUGGUAUGGUUAGGCAUUAUUAAUUUAAAAAUUAUAUGCAAUUAUUGAUUAACUGUAGUUUAAAAGAUUUAGCAGGCCUUGGUACUGAUUGGUCCUGGCUUUGGCUCAAUUGAGCACCCUGUGUGAAACCAGGCACGGAAUGUUAUGGUUCUGUUUUGCCUUCGCGUCUGAACCCAAUGUCGAGCCCAAAUGCCUUCAGCAUUUUCACUCGUCAAUUAGCCUUCAAUAAUUUGUGGCCCACAUUCCUCCUUAGGCCAUAUUCCUUUAGUGUAAAUAAUUUCAAAUAAACAAAGGGCCUGAUAUAUCUCCUCAUAAAGGCUUGUAAUUGGCAGUCCUUCUGGAAUACCAAAUUUAGUUUAAAGAUGAUCCCUCGUAAUUUACCUUAGGCACAUAAUUAAAACAUCACAAUUAUGAGUUUGGCUUCCGUGGCAUAAUUGUGCUAUGUAAUUAGUUUAAAUAUGAAUAUCUGUAGUUCAUAUAAUUGAAUGCAUUUCUUUUGAAAGAAAAUGAG